UACGUAGGGACCAAGCGUUGUCCGGAAUCAUUGGGCGUAAAGAGCGUGUAGGCGGUUUGGUAGGUCCGCUGUGAAAACUCGAGGCUCAACCUCGAGACGCCGGUGGAAACCAUCAGACUAGAGUCCGGAAGAGGAGAGUGGAAUUCCUGGUGUAGCGGUGAAAUGCGCAGAUAUCAGGAAGAACACCCGUGGCUAAGGCGGCUCUCUAGUACGGUACUGACGCUGAGACGCGAAAGCGUGGGGAGCGAACAGG
rnacentral:rRNA from 1 species